rnacentral:rRNA from 1 species
AGUCGAACGCACAGCGAAAGGUGCUUGCACCUUUCAAGUGAGUGGCGAACGGGUGAGUAACACGUGGACAACCUGCCUCAAGGCUGGGGAUAACAUUUGGAAACAGAUGCUAAUACCGAAUAAAACUUAGUGUCGCAUGACACAAAGUUAAAAGGCGCUUCGGCGUCACCUAGAGAUGGAUCCGCGGUGCAUUAGUUAGUUGGUGGGGUAAAGGCCUACCAAGACAAUGAUGCAUAGCCGAGUUGAGAGACUGAUCGGCCACAUUGGGACUGAGACACGGCCCAAACUCCUACGGGAGGCUGCAGUAGGGAAUCUUCCACAAUGGGCGAAAGCCUGAUGGAGCAACGCCGCGUGUGUGAUGAAGGCUUUCGGGUCGUAAAGCACUGUUGUAUGGGAAGAACAGCUAGAAUAGGAAAUGAUUUUAGUUUGACGGUACCAUACCAGAAAGGGACGGCUAAAUACGUGCCAGCAGCCGCGGUAAUACGUAUGUCCCGAGCGUUAUCCGGAUUUAUUGGGCGUAAAGCGAGCGCAGACGGUUUAUUAAGUCUGAUGUGAAAGCCCGGAGCUCAACUCCGGAAUGGCAUUGGAAACUGGUUAACUUGAGUGCAGUAGAGGUAAGUGGAACUCCAUGUGUAGCGGUGGAAUGCGUAGAUAUAUGGAAGAACACCAGUGGCGAAGGCGGCUUACUGGACUGCAACUGACGUUGAGGCUCGAAAGUGUGGGUAGCAAACAGGAUUAGAUACCCUGGUAGUCCACACCGUAAACGAUGAACACUAGGUGUUAGGAGGUUUCCGCCUCUUAGUGCCGAAGCUAACGCAUUAAGUGUUCCGCCUGGGGAGUACGACCGCAAGGUUGAAACUCAAAGGAAUUGACGGGGACCCGCACAAGCGGUGGAGCAUGUGGUUUAAUUCGAAGCAACGCG